UCGAGAGUUUGAUCCUGGCUCAGAUUGAACGCUGGCGGAAUGCUUUACACAUGCAAGUCGAACGGUAGAGGGGGCAACCUCUCGAGAGUGGCGAACGGGUGAGAAAUAUAUCGGAACGUGCCCAGUCGUGGGGGAUAACGUAGUGAAAAUUACGCUAAUACCGCAUACGAUCUAAGGAUGAAAGCGGGGGAUCGCAAGACCUCGCGCGAUUGGAGCGGCCGAUAUCAGAUUAGGUAGUUGGUGAGGUAAAGGCUCACCAAGCCAACGAUCUGUAGCUGGUCUGAGAGGACGACCAGCCACACUGGAACUGAGACACGGUCCAGACUCUACGGGGAGCAGCAGUGGGGAAUAUUGCACAAUGGGGCGCAAGCCUGAUGCAGCAACG
rnacentral:rRNA from 1 species